rnacentral:rRNA from 1 species
CGGACGGGUGAGUAACGCGUGGGGAACCUGCCCUAUACAGGGGGAUAACAGUUAGAAAUGACUGCUAAUACCGCAUAAGCGCACGGAGCCGCAUGGCGCUGAGUGAAAAACGAUAGUGGUAUAGGAGGGACCCGCGUCUGAUUAGGUAGUUGGUGAGGUAACGGCCCACCAAGGCGACGAUCAGUAGCCGGACUGAGAGGUUGGCCGGCCACAUUGGGACUGAGAUACGGCCCAGACUCCUACGGGAGGCAGCAG